UAACUGUGCUUGAGCAAGGCAGUGAAUUUCUAAAAGCACUAACUCUGGGUAAUCUUCACUGUUGUUAAAAAAGUGGCAGUAUUGACUAAUCCAUACAAGAAUCACGCCUCAGCCAACAUGGAAUUUCACUGCUGUACCCAUGUACAUGUACUUGUUUUGCACAGCGUCUUAUUUUUCUUGGUGUUUUGGAGUGAACACUGUGACUGUACUUCCAGGGGAGGGUAUUUUUAACCGGUGUGGCUGCACUGUAAACACCAGAACACUGUGUGUUCUCACUCCAAGAUUUAAACACCGCGGCCGACAGCAGACUCCCCGCGGCACGAAAGGCAAUACUGUGUGCAAGACAAAAAGCAAACGGAGAAGGAGGUAGAGAGACCACUGGAAAGAAUAAUAAUGUCUGAAAUAUUUUCCCAAUUUUGACCCAGGGGUCAUUAAGGAAUCUCCGCAGUGUUGGGGAAUGAUGCAGAAGUGGACAGACAACUGCAGAAAAUAUAUGGAGUCCGGCACACGGCGAGCCAGACCACCCAUGACUAGGACAAAUUCAGACACCCUCCACAAGCCAUCCUAUUGAACCUUCCCCCAAACCCCUCCCUCUGCUGGAACAAGCUGGCCCCCUCCCGCUCCCUCUAUUCUCUCUGUUGUUUCAGCAGUGUCAGAGUCACUCGAGGGGGACGAGCGAGAGCUGAGUGAGAGCCAGGAAGACAACCAGAGCACGCUUUGACCACUGACGUGCCGGACAAAACCAUAAAUGCAUCAUCACCGAUAAAACUGUGGUUAUCUAAGAUUGUGAUGACUGACAAAUGAUCAAAUAUUCCAAAAGUUUCCUUUUCAUGUUCUUGCUCUUCCUUUAUAUCCCUCCAAAUGUUAAUAACAGAUGCAAAUGUCACAGUCAUAGAGCUAAUAAAUGUAAAUGUUGAUGAUUAUAAGUGA